rnacentral:misc_RNA from 1 species
GGGAGAUUCUCUAACCGAUAUCCUGUUGAGGCACUUAUGUGCUUUUUCUGAAACUGCUUUUGCUGAUACAUCCUCUCUAGGUAUUCGGAUUACAGUGUGUUAUGCCAUAAAGAAACUAAUGUUCUUUGUUACCUGAAUACUUGUUAUUGCUUCCCCUCUGCAUCAUCUUUGCCUCCGCCAUUCUUGGCAACUUAAAUUUCUCUGCUCUAUCGACAAAGUUAUCUUUAUACAUGAAUUAUAUACCGAGUGAUUCCUCCUUGGAAUGUCAAGGCGGUAUGCUAGCAGUUCAUGUUGUCGCACUGCUACACUAAAGGUGCAACUCCCUUCCGCACAAUUCUUGUUCUCGCACCCUCUUCAGUUUCCUCAAAGUCAAUUUCUUUUACUAGUUCGGAAGUUGCAUUGUACUCAAAUCUAUUAGAGAGUAGCACCUCAAGUUCGUAGUCGGAUUGACUCCUGGUAGCAUCUACUAAGACAGAUACAAUUUCCGUCUUCCGAGUACUGGCUAUCAGUAGAUCAUAUUCAGUUGGUAUAAUAAUUGCUAAGAAAUUAUCACUUAGUUCACUCAAACAGAGCUUUUCAACAGCUGCCAGGGAAAUCCGCCUUUUAAGUGCAUCAAUGUUUGGAUCCACAAUGUAAACGGCAAAGUCAGUUACAAGAAAAAUGCGCCUCUUCAUCUUUCCUGUACUUGUGAACUUCAAAACUUUGUCUGCAAAGAGGACUUUCUUGUCACCUUGUUUUUCUAGAAUCUUCAUGAGAUAGGGUCGAGAAGGCACGUCAAGGUAAUCGCCGAUGUAAUUUCUAUGAAACGAAGCUUUUCUCCGUACCUUUACUCCCAUGAAAGGAUCUCGAUUUUGAUCUUCCGUGACAUUGCUAUCAGUGGGCGCCCGCUUCAAACUUUCAGCAUCUGCAUCGUCCUUAGCGAUCCGUUCGUCUUUGUCAAGGACAGGCGGGGUUUGGGCUUGGGCCGGUAACUGGACUUUCCUAUUUGAUGAUUGAAACCAUGCCAUCGCCGGCGACGAAAGGAAGGAAGAGGGUGACGAAAAGUGCCGAUGUGUAGAGAUUGUUAGGUUGGUGGAAGCAAACGUGUCGUGUGUGACAGUUACCUCACUCGGAUUCCC